rnacentral:rRNA from 1 species
UAAAGUGGCGUACGGGUGAGUAACACGUGGAUGAUCUACCUCUUAGUGGGGGAUAACCUUGGGAAACCGGGGCUAAUACCGCAUAAGCCUGAAAAGGGAAAGGAGCAAUUCGCUGAGAGAGGAGUCCGCGGCUGAUUAGCUAGUUGGUGAGGUAAUGGCCCACCAAGGCAAUGAUCGGUAGCCGGCCUGAGAGGGCACACGGCCACACUGGCACUGAAACACGGGCCAG